AGUUAUAGAAUAUGAUAGAGGCAGAGUUUUAUAUUCUACAAAAACAUACGAUCUGCCUCCAUCAUAGUAAAACGGUAUACCGAAAUAAUCAUAUUUCACUCCGCAUACGGACAAAGCUGUUUGAGGUUCCAUGCGGAUUACCAGUAAGUGUCAAUGUCUCUUUGAGGUUCCAUGCUAUGCUUCAAUGUUCCAUUUGUUCUUGGUACACACUCUUGGUCAUAAUAGAGACGUCAAAUACAUUUAGACAUUGAUACCGGCGCCUGUGACGUUUUGCCCAAAGAAACCUAGUUUUCUUCAACUUAUUCCUCCGUUCAAAACGACGUUGGUUCCAGGAUAUAAGCGAGAAGAUUAAAAGAUAGUCGAGACUUCGGACCUAG
rnacentral:rRNA from 1 species